rnacentral:lncRNA from 1 species
UUAAUCUCAGCUACUUUUGCAACGCAAGGUACUAAAGUCUCCAAAAAGCUUUUUGGUGAUGAACAGAAAAUUGAGCAAGGUCGUGAAGCACCUUCAGCUUCAUGUUUAAAUUCCUUAAUGUCUCCUGCUGCAUUUCAAUUGCGCAACAAAACAAAAGAAAAAGAAUUAGUAUUAUCUAAGGAUGAGUUUCAACAAACUCUUUUAAAUGUCAUUCAGAAUGAUGACCGUUUUGUGACGAUGUUACACGAAGCAUAUUUGGAAGUUUUACGCAAAGAUAGGUAGCUCCAGAUUUGCUAAAUAGGAAUCUUUAAAAGCAUAAACUGCAGCUUGUGUGAUAUGUGCUAUUUUAUCACCACAUUGAUAAUGUGCAAAGUUGUGUGACAACCAAAUAGUUGGAUUAAAAUAUACAUAAAUGACUUAUUCAUUUUCCAUUACCAAUGUAUGAUCAUUAUUCAUCUCAUUGAAACGUCAUGAUCUUUAUUUAUCUCUUGCAUUCGUCAUGAUCAUCACUCAUUGCAUACACUCAUCAUUUUCUAAAUGAAAUAAAUAGUUCAACGUUUUGGUGAAAGAAAACGCUUUGGUUAAAGAAAACUUUUUGCUAGCAGCCCUCGAUUUUUAUCGCGAUGCUGUUUUAUGUUGAUUGAGUGUUACAUUGUAAUCCAGUAUUUUUUCUUAAAAUACAAUACU